AAUAAAUAAAUAAAAUCUUUUUGAAAAAAAAAAUAAAGGGGCCACGGGUCUUGAUUUAGAAUUUCUGACUGUUUCCUCAGGGAACCAGCUCUGAGGGCCUCUUUUCCCAGGGGACCACCCUGGCUGCCUAGGAGUGGCCAGACAACCUGCAUUCAUCUCACUGGAAUUCUUUGGCUCAUUAUGCAGCCUGAGGACAUUGAAGAUGAAAGGAAAGUCUUCAGCAACCACAGAGAAGUUCAAGGAGAAAAGAGUGUUAAAGAAAGAAUGGAAUUCCAGUAGUCUUCAUACUGUGGUUUCUUCUAACUGCCAGUGAGGAAAGCAUGCUCAUUCUUCCUGACACUGCAAAGAAGCAUUAAAAAAAACCCUGUUAUUUCUACUAGAGAAGCCUUGUGAGAUACCAGGACCACAGUGAUUGGAGCCACGGCGCAGGUGGAAAUAACCUGUUAACCUCUCACCUUAAUUCUGAUUGGUUAUAUACCUAAUAAUGUAUGGUCUUGAUGCUAAUAUUUAAAGUGACAAUUUCAUUUUCUGAAAGGUGAUGGAGGCAUUAAUUUAACCUAUAAUGCUGUAUAUGGUGGAAGUAAAUAAUGACGGUAUCUCUAUCACCUCCUCUACACACGUAAUGCUUAUUACCCUUCCCUUGAGUCCUUUGAUGUUUUAUUAAACAAAACCUGAUUUAUGAAUGACUCUGUAUACUACUGUUAGUUCACCCAUUAAAUAUUAAAAAUAAAAGCUUCCUUUUUCACAGAUGACAUUUUAUAGAAUUUCUAGUGUUUUUUCCCCAUAAUGUAUUGGAUCAUCUUGCCUGCUUGUACAACCUACUUUAAGACUACCAGCGUAUGAAACAAAGCGUGCCACUGGGUAUGUAGUUGGCCCUGGUUCCUCUUCUACCCCUGUGAAACAACUGAAAAAAAGAAAUGGAUAAAUGGAUAUUCUCUUAAGCCAUGUCACCAUGGCAAUAUAUUUUGAAAACUUUUACUUCAACAACUUAAACUAGGAAGGGAAUUUAAAAUCAGAUCCUAGGAUAGCUGAUAUUUUACUUUCAUUUUUUUAUAGAAAGAUUUUAUUUAUUUGACAGAGAGAGAGACAGCGAGAGCAGGAACACAAGUGGGGGAAGCAGCAGGGGGAGAAGCAGACUCCUGCCGAGCAGGGAGCCCGAUGUGGGGCUUGAUCCCAGGACCCUGGGAUCAUGACCUGAGCUGAAGGCAGACACUUAACGACUAAGCCACCCAGGUGCCCCUUUAUUUUUAUUCGAAACUGUGAUUUCAUGUCCUAUUUAUUCAAAAUUUAAGUCUUGAUUUUCAUUUUCCUGUUUAAUUUAAGCCCUUUUAUGUUAGAUCUUUGGUGCUACUUGGUCAACAAUUUGGCCUGAUUGUGUACUAGAAGUUUAAGAAUUGUCAGAAAUCAGGUCAGGCCUUUGUAUAUCAGACUGAGCGAGAAGUAUUGCUCACCAGGGGCUGUACACAGAGCUUACUACUCAGGUAACUGAGAUAAUUUGUUGCCUUUUGUUGCCAAAGUUCCUUUCGGCAAGGACUUAAGGAUAUAAACUAGAGCUGGGCAUAGGCCCCAUCUAGUGGUGACUUGAAGAAAAGCAGGUAAAGCUAAAAAAAGAAAAGUCAUGUCCCAAUCUUCCUGUAAAGAUGAGCUACUAGUUAUUUCCCUGAAACCCUAAUCAGGAGGGUUAGAAUGUGUGAAAUUGUUAGAAAUGAAGUUCCUAAGUGAGUGAUUCUCACUGGAGAAUAUAUUUAAAAUAAAGAGGAUCACUCAGGAAGCAUAUUUGAAAUCCAGGAUAUACUCUGCCCUAAUGGAUCUGAUCAGGUAGCUCUGGGACAGCACCCACCUUAAUAGACUUCUCCAAGUGCAUCAGGCAUAUUAUAGCUGAGCCCUUUCCCCUCCCUAUUAGGAACUCAGCUACUUCUACAGAAGAGAGGCAGCCUGCACAGCAGAGGUGGCA
rnacentral:lncRNA from 1 species